rnacentral:lncRNA from 1 species
GUUCUUUUACGACGGAGCCUAAGAUAUUCUUUGUCUUGUCGGUGAGUGAGUUACAGUCGGAUGACCAAGUGAAAUAUAGGGGUGCAACGAGGAUUUGGAGGCUUCUGAGACUUGAACUUAGGGUACUGGUGUAAACUUCCUCGGAGAAGUGCGCAGCAGCUAAUGAUAUUUCGGGAUUGGAGUCUGGGCCCCAGUGAGAUUCGUACUAAGCGGCCUGACUGAAGGCCGCAUGCGUUCUAGUUCCUGAGUCCCCGCGUGGGUAGGUUUUUACAGCAGGGUUUGCAGCCUUUUGUGCUGUUCCGAAGGUACUAGAGUCACCGAAAGAGACAUCCUAUUAUAUGCACGUUCACAAGGACAAUGGCGCCAUUGUUCUUCGCGUCUUCAAAGCAGCUACAAGAAGAAACCAAGAUGGAGGGGAGCCCAAAGCAUCUGAGAGAAUUGAUAAAUGAAAGAAACAUGCUUAAAACAUGACCGUUUUAAAGGGGCCAGUGACACAAGAACUUGCGAGAGAUGCCAGUCCGCCUGUGAAGAUCCUGCAGCAGGAGUGCAUAGCCAGUGACACAAGACGUGCGAAUGAAAACUAGAUGUGACCAUCCAGAAAAAGCAUAGACAAAAAAAUGCAGUCUUAGUACUGGGAUGUUUGAGAUGGGGUCUAUCUACAUGUCUCUAGCUGUCCCUAUCAGGACAGCAUCUGGUGUGGCCUGCAGAGUUGAUUCCUGUACUUUUUUUUUUUUGUGGGCUGUAUGUAAAUGGAUUGUUUUGACAAUCCAUUCGACAGUGUUCUCUUCUGUGAAGGUCAUAGGUGAGCUGAUUGACAGACACAGCUGUACAGACUGAAUGCAAUCCUGACUAUAAAGCUGCAGUUCAUCAUUAUGAGCUAUUUCCUUAUUCUGGCAGUGAUUGAAAUAAAAUGGGGAGUAUUGAAAUAAAAAACAUUCAAUUGCAAA